rnacentral:lncRNA from 1 species
UUUUUCUCUAAGUAUUAUUUAGGCACAAGGAACUAUUUCCUUACACAAGCGAGCACUGCUUGACAGAGUUUACACAUAUCAAUAACUGGUCUUCUCUAAAUAGCAAAGCCCACAUGUAUUUGCCACUUGUAAAGAGAGUCUAGCAGGAAACAGAGCUGUCUGAGGUAUCGCAACCAGCAAUGGAGCAGGUCAACAGGCAGCUGUAAACGGGGCCCAGAGGUAAGAACAAUGUGCCUUUUGUUACUUUUCAGCUUAUUAUUUGUAUUCCUAUUUCUAUGCCAAUAAUUCAAUGAUAUAAUGCUGGCAGAUUACAAACCAGCCUGUGUAAUUCUCUCAUGUAGAUAGUAAAUUUUUUAAAUGACACAAGUUGAACCAAUUUGCCAAGCUUUAACCUUACAUUUAAGCUUUUAAUAAGCUGCAAAAAAAUUUAAGUUCUUUUUGAUCUGAAAGUUAUUUUACCUGAAAAAUGAAGUAUUAUCUUCCUUAUUUGUAGGUAACCCUUCACACAGCUAACUCUUGUACAACUGUUUGUACUAUUAAUACAAUUGAAUGUUUUUUUUCUUCCACAAGUUGAUUUCUGACAUUCAUAAAUCCUCUCACGGCUCUCUUAUUCUUCUUAUGCUUUAUUUAUUGAACAUUUUUCCUUUAAAAAUUCUAUUUUUUACACACCAUAAAUAUAAUGUUAUUGAACAUGUAGCAUUUAGGAUUAUUGUUUCAUUUCAUUUCAUUACAUUAUGGUACUUUAAUUUUUAAAAACUGAUUUGCAAUGUAAUGUGCAUGAUCUUAAAAUCUAAAUAAGAAAAUCUAACUUUCCUAAUAAGAGUAGACUGCAUUUAAAAGACUUAAUAGAGCAAAAAAAAAGAAAGAAAGAAAGAAAAUAAAGAUAAUUCAUAUUAGCAAUUACAAAUCAAACUACUCUGGUUUCAUGAGUCAAGUUCUAAAAUGCCACAAGUCCUAUAAAAUACUCUCUUCUAAUUUGUGCAAGUCUGAGAAGCUGCUUGUGCACAUUAACAAUAUUUAACUGUGUAUUCAAGUAUAGAAACUUAACAGUCUUUCUUGUAGCAUCCUUUGGUUUCUUUAAGUUUUCUAAAAUUACAUUGAAGAUAACAAAUAGAAUUUUAGAACAAACAAUGGCGCUGAAAAGCACCGUUCAGUUACACAUGUGGGUUUUGCAUAGUUUGCCAGUGAAAAAUCAGAAAACUUAACUUACGAAGAUGACAUACAUCACAUAUUCACUGUUUGAGAUUUGCUAAAGGAAACAUCCAGACUCGCAUAUCUGAGCACAUUUAAUUUUACUCUUAAAGGAGAUAGUCAUGGCCUCCAGAAAAGGGAAUCGACAACCUCUCAUUUCUGCAGGAGCUUUUGUUCACAGUGCUAAACGGCAGUGAUAUCUUGCGUGUGCUGUACAGUUCCUGAGACCUACUGACCGUUUAAACCAUCACCACACACUGGUCCUUGACCAUAGUCAUUGUCCUCUUAUAAUGGUUCAGGAAAGCAAAUAUUUAGUGUUAUAAAUUCAGAAAAGUAGGGGUUGAGGAUUUAGCUCAGUGGUAGAGCGCUUGCCUAGGAAGCGCAAGGCCCUGGGUUCGGUCCCCAGUUCCGAAAAAAGAAAAAGAACCAAAAAAAAAAAAAAAUGAAAAAAAAAAGAAAAAAAAUUCAGAAAAGUAGUUGAUAAUGAGAGUUAGACCAUCUAAUUAGAGUGUAGAAUAUGUUGUUAGUGAGUCCGAUAACAUGUUACCUUUAAGUAUUGCAUAUUAACUCAACAAUACUUCUAUCUGAACUUGGUUAUGUUAAUUCAACAAUUGUAUUUCUAAAGUCUAUCAAUAACCACAUUUUUGAAUAUCUAUACUUUUAAUCAUGAGACCUUUUGGUAUUAUUAACUACUGAUUAUUGGGAGUGUGCUAUAUAUUACAUAGCAUCACAGUUCAUAUUGAAUAAGAACCAUGAAAAAAUUAUAGAGUAAGUUGAUCACCCCUUUAACUCAGGGCAGUAAAAGAAGGCCAAGGUUGUAGAGAACAUGCUGUCUUCUUGGCAGGGCAGAUUGGUUGUUGAUGUGAAUUAUUAUGUCUGAUUUAGUAGCUUGCUUCUAGAUUGUGGAAAAUAAGUUUAGAAUUUCUUCUUUGAAAACAAUCUAUUUACGGACAGGAAAUAUGAGCGCUUGACCGGUUGUUUCCAGGAGACAUGUGAACGUUGAAGGGACAUUUGCUCAAUAUUAGCGUUGUGUUUCUUCCUUCAGAAACUCAUUUAAGCAGAGCACUUAGAGUCAGCACAUGAAUCAGAAAUGUUUGAAGUUGAGUUGCAAAGAAGGCUGCAAGUUAUAUAUGUCCGGAAAACAAAUUUUGAAUUUUGAUACAUAAAUGUUUCACAAGAUUACAUUUCUUGACAUAAUUAUAAGAAUGACUGUUGAAACUGCAUGUCUGCUUUAUUACCAAAUUUUAACAAGCCCCAGACGUUAAGAACACAUGGGAGAUAGGUCAAGGACAUGUGAGAUGAUUGGAAGCCUCCUAGAUACUAAGCUCAGAACAAGUGGGUGUCUCUCUCUCACUCUGGCCAUCCCCAAAUUGUCCACUAUGAAAGAGAGUGACCUGCUUGUCAUGAGUGUUAUCCCUCCUAACCAGUAGCCAAGUGCACUUUUAAAAAAUGAUUUUUCUUGGAAAUACUGAUACUAAUUUUGUAUGUAUAUAUCUAGUUCUAAAAGAAUACCGCACAUUAUGUCUUUCUUUCUUUCUUUCUCUCUUUCUUUCUUUCUUUCUUUCUUUCUUAUUUUUUUCUUUUCUUUUUUCUAUUUUGUUUAUCCUUCAUUCAGGCAUUUUCCCAUGUUCAAUAAGAAGAAAUUUAGUUGUCUGGUAGAAUAUGAAAUGUAUCCAAACUAUGAAAAUCUUCUGCUUUUAGAAUAGUUGGAUCUUCUAGCUUUUCAAAGUCAAAUGUAUGUCCUAUACCUUGGAUAUUCUCGGCUCUUAUUAGUGUAACUCAAAAGUAAGUACCAAUUGUAGCAUAUUUAAAAUAUAUAUGGUCCUGAACAUUUGGGGAAAUAAUUAUAUGUAUAAAAAUGUAGAGUGCAAGUAAGUGCAAAGAAAGAAUGUGCAUGUCAAUUUAUGAAAUUAUUUGUGUAAAUAUAAAGAUAUAAGCAAGCCUAUUCUGCUAUGGAAUGUGUCUCUUUCCAACGUUAAUGACGUACAGCUUCCAUUUAUACAUCUGAGCUGUAGGGAAACAACUAAACGCAUUAUUUCCUGGCUUUCACAUAUUUAAACUAUAAAUUUUGGGGGGAUGACUGUUAUAUUUUCUUCACUAGCCUGACAUUAAUGCUGUUGAGUUUUUGUUUACUUGUGUUAUUGGUUUGCUUGUUUGUUCGCAUUUAGUAUUUUGCAUGAACUAAAACCUGGGCCCUUAGAUUCGAUGCUGUCUGUAUUCCUUUCACUUUUGUUUCCAUCAUUGUAAGCAUGACUGAAAACAGUUUUACUUUUUUAUUUUAUAUAUUUUUACUUUUAAUGUUAUUGCAAAAACUACCUUUUAUUCUUAAAUCCUAUUUUAAGAAGGAAUGGCAUUAUAGUUGAAUACUUAAUUUCAGAAUUGCAAAAAGUGACUGAGAAUGAAGUUGGCCAUUGUGUGGGUACCUGGACUGGAACUGGUUUCUUUCCUUACUGAUAUUUCACUUACAGAUUGUUCAUUGGGAGCCUUUACUUGUGUUCUACUCUGUUCUUAGCACAUCCUCAAAUUCUUUGUACCCUGGAAAGAAGUGCUGUCAUGUGGUCCACGAAAGCAUCAUUACGGCUUGUUCUGAUUCCGAAUAAAUAGUGUAAAAUUUCAUCAGACAUCUUUUUCAUUCAAUUUGCCUUUGCACAGGAAAAUAAUUUUAAGCAAGUUAUUCAUCCUCUCCUUUCAUGGCAGACAUAUCCGAGUGAGAAAAGCAACAAAAGCACUCUCCGUGAUAACGCUGCCAAGUAAAGAAAAUUUAUCUCUUUCUCAGACUCACACGCAACUUUAACUAAUUUUCCAAGUUAUAAUUUGAGUGUAGUGAUUCACACCUGCACCCCCAGCAAGAAGGAGGCUGAAACAAAAUAAUUCGAUUUUGUUUUGUUUUGAGGGUGGCCAGGCUAUGUCAUGAGUUCAGGGCCAUAUUUGGAUUCAGAGUGAUGCCUUUCCUUGAAAACUGAUAAAAUAAAAAAUAAUUCCAAACUCCACAGUGUCAUGAAAUACUUUAAAAGGCAUCUGUGUAUCUUACUCGGUUUCAUAGCCGAUCCCCCAUCUUUCUUUCUCUCUGUAGUCAUUCAUUAUGCUUUGAUCUUUAGAGCACAAGACUCUUCCCUUCCAUGUGCAAUCGUACAUACACCAGCAGAUAGAAACAGCGCUCCAUUCCACACGUCUUUACUGACAGUCCGUUUUCAUGGAAUCUCCGUCCCUAUUUCACUUUUGCUGUUCAAUAAUAUCCUUUAUAAUGUUAUCCCUCCAGUAACCAAUUCAAUCUAGAGUUGAUAAUCACAUUUAGUUGGUAUUUCUCUUUUUUAUUUUUAAUUGACAAAUAAAAUCGUAUAUAUUCAUUCUGCACAACAUAUUGUUUUGAAUUGCGUGCGAACUUUAAUGGGUAAUUGGAGAUAAUUAGCAUAUGUAUUUCUCCACAUAUUUACUUUAUUUUACUGUUGAAACACUCAAGAACUAUUUCGUUGGCAGUUUUCACAGAUACUACACGUUGUAACUGACAGUCACCGUGCCGAGUGCUUUGCCUUCCCACUCUUUAGGUUGGAAUAUUCUCAUGCCUUUAUCUUUGGCAAAACGGAAGGAAUUAAAGUGUAUAAUCUUUUCACCAACACCUUUUCUACACAUUUUAAAUUUUUCAUAAAAUAAAGUUAGCUGAUGUAUAAAAUUUGCAUAUAGUAUGUGUUGAUACAGAAUAAAUUGUAAAAUUUUCAAACAGGGUAUAUAUAUAUAUUUCAAAUACUUAUUAAUCCCUGGGGGAAAGUAUCUCUUCUGAUAGCUUUUUAAGAAAUGGACAUAACUGUUACCUGUAACAUGCUUAAUUUUGCUAGCAUGUUUCUGUUUGCUGUCACUUUGGCUCGCCUCCUGUUUGGGGUAGUCAGACAUUUUCUGGGGCAGUCUUGCAGGGGUGUUGCUUCCUCCGGUGCUACCAUGUGGAAAGGCUCUUACACUCACUUGUCUUGCACCAGCAAUGUCAGUUUUAUUGCCUUUUUGAGGUAUUGCCUGCAAUUUCCCACUAUAUAACGACAACUUCCCAAACAAAAACUUUAUCUUGGACAUAAUACUGAUACUCUUGUCUAAUGUAAUCUUUAUUGGGAAGUUUAACAAGCGCUUACCUUGCAUAAACAGCAACUGUGGUACUUUCUUCAUGCUCGCAUGUUGUUUCCAAGCUACUACAGACCAAAGAUCUUUUCUUCCACACUGGUUUAUUUAUGUCUUGAUCUAUGCUCCUGGGCUCAGGGAGCAAGCAGCUUUUUUCGUGACUUGUAAUUGUUUAUUACCUUGAUGAUUUACUGUCAGAUUAUACCCAUUUGGCCAUCAGAGCUCAUUUAUUCUGUUUUUCUAUGUCCUUAUGUUAUUCAAAAACCAUAUUACUGAUCUUUAUAUUACAUUUGGCAUGAAAAAGAUAUACUAAGCUGUCACAACAUCCAUUCAGUUCAAGAAUCUUUUGCCCUGUCUUUUGUUGGUGGAACUAAAAAUAUGAUCCCUGCCACUCAGAUAAUUUGCUUCAUGACCCCAGAAUACAGUAACGUAUAUGCACAUGCACCAACACAAACACAUAGCUAUAUAUGCUUAUACCAACAUACAUUUGUGAAAGUAUUUAUAUCAAUGCGUAUAUUUCUAUAUUUUCUGGGUAUUCUUAACUCAUUCUGAUUUUCUCUAGGUGAAACCAUCUUCAUAGGCAUUUUUUUACCCUCCCCUUUCCACAUUUUUUCCUCUCCCAAGAUGAGGUCCCUGUAGCCUGACAACUUGACAUGCUUGUACACUGGCUCAGUUCCACACAGUGCAGCUAAAAUAACAUCAGAAUUUCUCCUGAGAAGUGAGCCCAGGGAUUCUGCGCACAUGCUUUUCAUCCUCCCCAAUAUCACCAAAUAAUUGUUUACACAUUCCUUGGCUCGUUGUGUCCUUCCUACCUUCUGUUUCCUUCCCAAGCAGCGUGACUAUACUAUUAAUUAAGCUUGCUUCCAUUCAGUGCUAGGUUCAGGAUUUUUAACAAUUAUAUUCUCAGUUUAAUUUUAUUUUUGGCUUCAUUAAUUUAUUUUAAAUGUCUUCUUUGUUUUCAAACUGUACAUAAAAACUUGUGCCAGCCAGUUCUACUAAUGACUCAAUAUAUCCUGACUUAAAUGUUGUGGAUAUAAUCCAGAAACACCUGUUUGAGUUAUAUGUUGAACUUACGUUUCAAGUUAAAUACAUUAAUUUUUUUCUUAGCUAAAAUUAUUAUUUUGAUAUUGCAAAAAUGAAAACUCCAAAAUGUUGUAUACUGAAUAUUUGUAGCUACACUUUACAGAUUUAUCAUUCCACAGCUUAUGUCUAAUGUGCACAUGGAAUCUCAUUUACAGAAAAACCAUUAAUGUAAGGAAGAAAAGCAGGAACCAUGAAUCUGCAGAUUCUAUGCAUGGCAAAAAUCUAUCAUCUGAUAUGUAAUACAGACCAUACCGUUAUUACGACUUCCCUAUAGUCUACUUAUGAAUUUGCAACUACAAGCAUAUCCUUACUGUUUGUGUUAGGAAGCCAAAAUACAUUUUCAAUUUCUAUUCAUUCACUUACUGACUGUAGUCUUAAGUAAGUGACUUGCUUCUUCUUUUCAAAUAUCUAGCCUCAGUCUUCCCAAGCUCGUUGAGUCAGGGUUUUGGGGGGUUUAUUGUUUUUUUUUAUUUUGUUUUGUUUUAUUUCACAUGCUCAUUUCUCUUUCUUUAACUUUCCAUUGAUUUGAAAUAAUAGAAAAACUACUCUUCCUGAACUGCCGGGCAGUCGACUUGGGUGUCAGAAUGACUAUUAACUGGUGCAGUCAGAUACUAACAGAAGCCAAAAUUUCAACAUCCUUCUAGAUGGAACCUUUCCCUUCCCACAUCUCUCUGCCUCGCCCACUGUAAUGAUCACCAACCAGCACCCUUAUCGCAGUUACGCAGUCACCCUCAGCUGUUUUCCACCUAUCAGCAAGUUUAUGAAGUAGGUCCAAAGCAAGUCUGGAAGGCUUCUCCUUCCACACCCUGUGGACAAUAUACCACAUAGUGCUCUUUGCUCUUGUAGCCUCCUGAAAAACUCUUUUCACUCUUGUGGGCCUGUCAGCAUGGCCAAAUUACAAAUUAAGCCCUAUUACUCUCUGCUCAGAAAUUCUCCAAAUGUUUUCCAUUUUAAUUAAGAAGAGAACCCAAAUCUUAGAUAUGGCUGUGCCUUGAUCUCUACAUGCAUGUCCUUUCUCACACUGACUCUUUGUAUCUCCUGGACUGACUCUUCAUUUUUACCACAGCAUGCUGCAAGCCCACGACUGACCCAGGUUUUUUCUUUCUUUUCCCCUCAUACUCAUUUCUCAAUCUCUCUCAUGCUCUUCCCAUACAUGGUGACACAAUAGUUUAUUCAUAUCUCAGCUCAAACAUCCCCCCCCCCCAGGCAUCGCCUCUCAUUAUCAUCCACAUGCUCAAUUGCAGUAGACUGCCUAGUGGCUUUCUAACAUUUUUUUUUCCUUUUUUUUAAUUUUUGGUUUCCUUGAGACUGGGUCACAAUGUGUAGCUCAAACUGGCAUACAAUUCAUGCUACUCCUACCUCAGCUUCCCAACUGCUGCAAAUAUAGUUGUAGUGUGCAUUCCACUGGAGCCUUCCUUCUCUUUCCAUCCCUCCUCUCCCCCUCCCCUCCUCCCUCCUCCCUCUUCCCUGCCUCCCUCUGUCUCUUCCCCCUUCUUUACUUCCUUCCUCUUUACUAUUUUAAUAGCACAUUUUUUAAAAAAAUUGUUUUUGCUUUUGUUUUUCAGACAGUCUCAUUAAGUAGGACUAUCAGACUGCAUCUCCCUAUGUAGACCAGGCUGGGCUCAAAUUCACCUGGCUUAGCCUCUUGAGUGUUGAGAUUAAAGAGUGGAGCACCAUGGCUGAUGUUGAUCUGUUUUUAAAAGUCUGCUCUUCCGUGUAUGUUCUUCUUAACAGACUGCAAGCUCCUUAGUUGUUUGUGCCGUGCCCCUUGUUUUUACUACACUGCAUAGUACAUAAUUCAUGCUCAAUAAGUAAAUGAUAGCCGAGUCCAACAUUCCACCAAUUCUGGGCUACAUAGCUACACAUCAAAUCCACAAAAUAAAAAUAGCUGGAUCUCAUGGCUUCCAAAGAGAGGUCUUAGUUAUGGCUGUACUACAUGCAGUUGUCAGGUGGAGAAACUGUCAAAGGAACUGAAACCAAACUGUGGUCCCAGGAGACAGUAAAUAGACCAAAAUGUUCUUAUUUUCUCCCCCCCUCCCCUGCCUCUGUCAUCCUGUGUUGGCUUUUUUCUACUGAGCUAAAAACAGUCAAGUUCGCAGUGUUUCCACUAGCAUUUCAGAAUUCUGAAGUUGGAGGUAAUACUUUGUCUUGCUUUUCCCACUGUCUUCAAUUCAUUCCCCCACCCUACCACAGGCAAAUCCAUGUGAUACUCGUCUUUGACAGUCAGAGGUCAUGGCUGUCCAUAAGUCUAUCUCUGUCAGAAUGCUUUUCUGAUUAAGCAUGCUGCUUUGUAAGACUUCCUGGAUCUAGUUUUGAUGUUGAGGUUGAUUACAGAGCUACUCUAGGGAAACUGACUUUCUUGUGUAUUCAGAAUAUAAAAUAGAAAGAUAUAAACACAUGCCUUGGCUCUUGAGAUUAUCAGACCCAAAAUGCUGACAAGAUGAUGGCGAUGAUAAAGUACUGAACAUUUUGGGGGCCAUUAUUCUUCAAGUGCUUUAACUUAACAGCCUCAACAAUUCUGUAAAAUCAGAACUACUCACAUUUUUCAUAAAUAAGAAAAACAUACAAAUUCAGAGAGUGGAUAGGUGGAUAAAGUCAUAAAAACUUGGUCCUGGUGUGUUUAUUUCCAAGCUGGAUCUUUGCUGACUUAUGAUACCACGUGUACUACUUACUAUUUAAUAAGGAAAGCAGGUCAACUUAUGGCUUGGAUGCAGGGAAGGAUGUUCGUCUUUAUGGUGUAGCUCUGACUUAGAAAAACUCUAAAUAGGGGAGCACUGUGCACAGACUGCAGCAAUGACGUACUAAAGGCUCUCUGGAGAAUGACACUGGAAAUAAUAUAAUUGUGUUAUAAUCACAAGGACAAUUCCUGAUAUUAUUUAAUGAGAUGCAGAAAAAUUUGAUCUAGAUAAGGUAAUCAGUUAAGACCAGGUCAGAAAAUUUCGGAGAAAGUUCAAAGAAGAGAGAAGCAACUCCAGAAUUCCAGGACUUUGAUAUAGAGCCAUAUGGAGUCAUUUUCACAAGCCGUAUUCCUACCCAGAGAGGUGGGAUGUGACACGAACUACUUUAUGUGAAGACUUUAAAUCUAGUGACAAGCUUUGGUUUUCAUUUUGAAGUGAAAUGCACUCUCCAUGCACUUUUAGCACUGGUGUACGAAAGCCUGUGGUUUGAGCAUUAUUCUAAAGCCAGAGAGGCAGUGAUAACUUAGGCCUCGAGGUUCUCACAGUCUAAAUGAGAGAAGCACUGGAUAAAAGAGUAAAGCCCUUUCUGGAGGGUCCUUAUGAUGGUGACUAUGCCCAGGCCAUUCAGCAGAGUUACAUAACAGAGACAAAGGAUAAGGGCUUUUCUCUUGUGUGGUUUCUCAAGGUUGCUUCUUUAAAGGGAUGGUAGUUAAGGCAAUAACAAGGCCAAAGGAGGGUCAUUGUCAGGCCCAGGGCAGGACUGAACUGUACUUGACAUAUCAGAAUGCAGAAUGGAGUUUACAUUUUAGUGUGUCACAGGAAAGAAGGGUCUUGUACUGAUAUUCAGAAAUGGUUGGGUCAUAUAGAUUGGAGGCCAAGAGACAAAGUUGUUCACUGUGAGCAAACAUUGGCAAUGAUAAGCACAUAUGUGAACUGGGGGGGCAGAAAUGCUCAGAGAGAUCCAUUAUCUCUGAUUAAUACAGGGCAGAGAACACUGCUGGGUGAAAAGCAGUGGCAAUUACUACCCAGGUCAGAAGUUUCCUUGGAGAUAAAUUAUUAUAUUAGAUGAAUUGCAGAUAAGACAGGCUUACAUUCAGAGGUUAACUACACAUUUUUGCCCUUUCAUUUCUGUAAUAGGUCAAGUUUGAUAAAAGGUGUAAAGGGUUCAAAAAUUAUUUAAAUUUGUUAGAUUAAGAUUUUUGAGAAAUUGUUAAGGGAUAAUGGAGUAUUUGUCCUAGCCAUUUGAACAUAUGUAUAACGGUAUCCAGUGACAGCCAUCAUGACCCUUAAUUUCUGUAUGUAAAUGAGGUAGAAAAGGCUAUUUUCCAGCCCCGAGAGACAACCUCUCUCAGAUACUCUCAUUUGUUCUUUCCAGAGUAUCAGUGACUGUUGAACCCUAGAAGUACCAGCAUACUUUUUUCAUAAGUAGUGAUUAUAAAUUUCUCUGAUAGUUAAAAUUACCCCAAGAGAUGUAAACAAUCUAAAUGGUCACCUUUAAGUCAUCAUUGGUUGGACCAAACUUCUGGGGACCAUAGGUUCAGUGGUGUGAACUGCUAAGGAGCUAUUGAAUACAUUACUGAAAAGUAUGUUUUUCGUUGGUUUAGCAGCCCCAGUGCCAGUUAGCAAGGGAUCACAGAACAAAUGCUCAGGCUGGGGAGCCAUAGUGGAUACAGGCAGUGCUGUGCGAGCUGGAUCUGAGCUGGAGCCCAGAGCCAGGUGUAGUGGCUCACACCUACCUCUGCACUGGGCUGAUGGAAGCAGGAGAAUUGCUAGGACCCUACUGGACAGCCACUCUAGCCGGCUUAGCAAAUUGCAGGCAAGUAGUAGACCCUGUGUAAAAAGACAAAAUAAAAAAAGUAGAUGGUGCCUGAAGAAGGACUCUGAGGUAGAUCUCUGGCUUCCAUAGACAUGCACAUGAAACUAUGUCUACACAUCCACACAUAUAUCCACAUCACAGUUGUAUACAUAGAAACACUUACAUAACACACACACACACACACACACACACACACACACACACGCACUGUCUUGCUCUCAUACUCUAAAAGUUAAUGACAUGAAAUAUGACUCUUUUUAUUCCUGGCUUACGUAAAAACCUGGCAAUAAAAUUUUACUAGCCGUUCUUGGACAAAAGUCUGUGCUAGAAGAUUGACCAUAACUGAACUAGGGAGUCACACUCUUUGCUUUCCCUAGGGUGAAAGACAAGCACAAUGUAGGAUUGUAAAUUCCACUUCAAACUCUUCUGCCUCCCCCCUAAAUAAAAGCAUAAAACAGAACAAGCUUUUGCUGUGCUGGUUCUGCAGAGACAUGAUGGGCUUAGUAGCUAAUGGAUCCAUGCAUUUCAUCCUACUAUAACUCUCUUGGUCUGAUGACUCACCAUAUUACAAUACUUAUUUUUGCCUAAUAUUAAAUGCUAUGUUAUCCCAAGUGCAUGUGUAUGGAAGAAUAAACUCAUAAUUAUGUACACUGCGUAUGAGAGAACAUGAUGAUAUUUAGGCUACUUCCUGGCUAGGGCAGAAUAAUACAAAAGCAUGAGAGUUUGAGAACAUUGGGUUUUCUGCAGUCGAAGUGGGAUGUACUUUCUUCAGUCACGUAUCUGUUGACAAGUGCUCAGGUUGACUCCAUAACAACUAUUUUAAUUGUUGUAAAAAUGAGCUCUGUAAUCAGUCUUCUGUUUCUUCCAAAUACUGACUUGUUUCCUUUGCAUGUAUAUUAAAUAGUGAGGUUGUUGGAUCAUAUAUAAAUUUCAUUUUCAGUUUUGUACGUAUGCCAAUUCACAUUCUUACCAGCAGUGUAAAGGAUUCCUUUAUCAAUCUUCACAUCCUUAACAAAAAAUGCUUAUGUUUUUGUCUUUUGGGUAAUAGCUGUUCUAACCAGAGUGAGGUGGUGCUUCAUUUCUAAGAGAAUUGAUAUUAAAUGUACUCAUCACAUAUGAAGACAUGCUAACCAUGCGAGGCCAAACAUCUGCUAACAAAGCUAGUUGUUACAAUUCUAGAAAGUGUAAUGUCAGAAACUGUGUUGCGUGUGGAAUAAAUGCAUGCAAAUUUAUCAGUCUGAAAGUAAAGCAGUUGAAUAAAAAAGAGUAGCACAGGUGUGUCGAAAUGAACUAGAUUCUAGGAAGAGAAUGUGGAAGGAGCACAUGGCUGGAGGCCUAACAAGUUAGCUCAGGAGUCUCUACAAAAGGUGCCUUCCUGGAAGCCUCAUUGCCUGUCUUGUUUUGCUUUGUUCCUCUAACUCUUUCGUUACUCACCAUAUAGUAGAAGGAUACCUUUCAUAGGUAACGUCUUUUUGGUGUGAGUCUAUCCUUCCUGGGGCACAAGCAUUUGGUAUGGUUCUCAACAACACAUAACCAUGACUUAUCCCCAGAGUUCUGAGCAUCCCUUUGACUCAUGUUACUCAAAAGACACAAGAAGAUGACUGAAUUUUCCACCUUGGACUGUUAUUGGAGCAUAUACAAACAAACCAUGCCAUACAAUAAGGCCCUUCUGACCCCAAAGACAGUGGUUCUCAUGCAACUGUCUAUUGCAGUCUUCUUAAAAUUGGUAGAUAUUAUUAAUUUAGCUUGGUUUGUUUUCUCAUAUUCUUUCUUGUAAAGUAGUAAGGAAUGUUGGAUUUUUUAAAAAAGGUGUGCAUUGGAAGACUAGGAGCAAUGAUGUCCUAUUUCGCCCAAUACUGUGGUUUGAGCUUGGCACUGUUGGUGUUGUGAGACAGGACUAAAGACUGAUAUUUCUCAGUUAUCUUUCAUUUAAGAAAAUUUUGGAGGGUAUUUUAAAGUUAUAUCUUACUGAUCUAUUAAAAGACCUCCAGUAGCAUCUUUUUAUGACCAGACUCUCUUAUGAUCCAUAGCUGCAUGUUUCUUACACUUUAUAGUUUGAGUUCUCACAUUCUGGACAAAUGUGAAGCUUAAUAGGUAGUGUUUUUAAAAUGCUCUAUUUUCUUUUAAAAUUAAUGAUUACUUUCCACUUAAAGUAACAAUAGUGACCAUAGUAUACCAAAGGUCUGAUCCCGGAGUCGUGUCCGGUCAUAAUUUCAUGCAGUAGAGGUUUAUAACCAUCUCUGGAAACUGCAACUUGAAGGGAUUAUUCGCAUCUCAUGCCUCUUUAUUGUUCAGGAACCAAUACCUUUGAAGGAAUAGUACUUCCUUAAGUAACAAACCACUCUUUCUUGAUCGGACUCUUCCAAAAUUGUUGCUUCAUACACAGGCAGGUCCAUGUCCACCAGAUUAUGCCCUGUUGCCAGUGGAAGUCAAAGACUAAGUUAGCAGGCCAGGGAGCAGCCAAGAACAAACCUCAGGCACUAAGACUCUGACCAGUGGCAAGUGGUUCAGGUCCUGUAUUCAACAUGUGUCCACUUUGCUACAAGCUCCAAAUGAGUUUUCUGCCUGAGUCACCACUUUGUUCAGCAGUAAACACAGUGAUGUCUUUGGCUGCUUCUUUCUCAGUGAGGACAAUUUUGGUUGUGUCACAAGCACAUGUGCUUCUGUUUCAUGAUACUGUAGGCUACUAUGCAUGUAUGAGUAGGAUGUCAGACUCAAGGUGCCCUUUAUUUAAACAUGCUCAAGAUUCACCUAGCAAAACGAAUCUUCCUUUGCCUUCAUGAGAUACUUGGCGUUUGGGGACCCUGAAAUUACUUUCAGUUUCUAGCAGACAGAUUCACCAGAACUUUGCAAGACUACAGAAGAUCUCCCAAGAGGGAAAGGCGUCCUGACUAAAAUUCUAGUUUACAUUAUCUUUAGAAAGCUACACUCCAUGAAGAGAGAUGAGCAGUGGGUCCACCCUCUUUCAUAUCGUUAGCUUUUCCUUUAUUUAAUUGUAAAGAAUGAAUGACAAGCAGGAAAGUGAUUUUGGUGGAGCGUGGGCGCUGGAAGCUGUGGGAGGAAGUUACACUCUACACAGCAGUAAGCUUGUGGGUGGCAGUUACAGACUAGUUGAGAAUAAUCAUGCGUAAAUGUCUCUACAGUGCUGCCUUGAAAAGAUUCAAUAUGAUUCUAUUAUAGGCACUUGAUAUAUUAUUUGAAAUAAGCACGUAUUAACUUAUAUCCAGGAACAGAUAAAUGGUAACUACAACAAGGACAAAUAAGUUUUUAAAAUCGCUUUUAUCUGUGACAAAACAAAAGAUAAUAUAAGUGGAUUUUCAGUUUUUUUCAAACGUAAUUUUAAAAGCUUGCAUGUUAUACGCCUUGAAAAUAUUAAAGCAAUAUUUGUCUGUUAAUGUCACUACUUUAAAAGGUUCAUUGUAGAAAAUAAAUGAAAGUAACACCAAAAGCCACAGCAAGGACCAGGGUGCAGUAGUAAUAAUAAUCAGGCAUAGAUUUCUGAUUCCUUGCCCUGAAGGACUGCUUCCCACUAAGAAGAAACAAAGUAACUAUUUCAUGCAACUAAUAAUAGAAUUCUGUCCUUAGAAAAAGAGGAUUUGAUCAUUCACGAGUCUAUACGUCUACACAUUUGAAUCUGAUGGUAAAAGAGAAUGAUGGUGAUGAUGAUGAUAAAUGGGGAAGGAAUAGUGAAUCAGUGAUUGAAUGUUUACUGCCUUUGCUUAAAGAACCCAAGUGUGGUUCCCAGUGUUCACACAGCAGCUCAUAAAUACCUGUAACUCCAGUUCAAGAAGCCCCACCCUCUCUUCUGAGAGCUACUGCACAUGCAUGAGUACACACACACACACACACACACACACACACACACACACUUGAAUGUAUAGUCUCAAAGAGAUAAGUGUCUAAUCAGGUUCAUUAGUUUUACACAUUUCUUUCCCAUAUUGACACAUGUUACUGGUCAUAACUUAUGACUUCAAAACCACUGCCAUUGCUAGUCUGCAGCCUUCAAGUUGCAUAGCAUCUACUCUUGUUCACCCUAGGGGAAGCUGGGAUUAUGCCAGCCAUUCCACAACUUCUUAUAGCCCAGAUAGGAAAAUUGAUAGCAAUAGUGUUUAACAUGAAAGCACAGUGUUGUCUGGUGUCCUGGAAGCUAAGAACUGAAAGGUUUGGAAAGGGAAAAGAAUGUUCUUCCUUGUCUAAGGAUGUGUGGUACUGGGAAGCUGGAGUGUUAGUCUAUUGCAGCUCUGCACUACUGACGCCAUUUGUAGAUACAUGGGUGUUCAGGCCCAUCCAGUUACAGCUGGUAGUCCAUCUGGAUUGAGAGCUCCAACUGUAUAUGUAGCAGACAAUAGCCUUGUUGGGCACCAGUGGAAUGGGACGCCCUUGGUCCUGCCAAGGCUGGACCCCCUGUGCAGGGGAAUGUCUGUGGGAGAUGGAUGGGGGGAAAACAACCUUUUGGAGGAUAGGAAGGUUAUGGACAGGAAACCAGGAAAGGGAAUAAUAUUUGAAAUGUAAAUAAAGAAAGACAUCCAAUAAAAAGCAAAUAAUAAUAAUAAUAAUAAUAAUAAUAAUAAUAAUAAUAACAACAACUUGGAUUUGGAACAUGUAUGAAAGUAAAGGAGUUGUGACUGAAAUAGAUAUAAUGAUGUAUGAAACUGCAACAGCUAUAAUGACCUCACAGCAUCAUGGAAAGUUCUGCUGUAAAAUAUACCGUGUCGUGUCCAAUAUAAUUACUUCCUGUGGUCCUCUCAUACUAUUGACAAUCAUGAGUUUAUUCUCAAAAGAUUCAAAAAGUGGGUAUAAAAAUAAAAAUUCAGUUUCCUGAUGGCAAUGUAAAAAAAAAAAAGACUUGAAACAGAAACAUCAACUGAAAAUCAAGUGAGGCACUUCUUGUUAAUAUAUAUGUAUGGUUUCCAUGUGGAAGCAUGUUAAAGGAACCUAUAAAAUGCAGUAGAAUAUACAAAAUGGGAUUUGGCUACUUCGUCUUUGAGUACACACAAGGGAAGUGCCAGAACACAUUUCUUUCCUCUGAUUCCUUGAUGUCACCCUGGCAGGUUUUCUAUGAUCUGUUUUUGCAGUAGAGGUAAGGCGUGGAAUCCAAAGCGACACCAACCCAAACAUUUACAAAGCUGUGGGAUCUCAGUGGCUUUAACACCUGUGGACCACUAGUGCACACCUAAGGGAGUAACCCUGCUUUGUUUGCCUGAGAAGUACCUCGGCCAAGCUGCUGUGUGACUGAACGAGUUCUUCCCUCACCAAGGCUACUCUCCACAACCAUGCUAGCCCCCCAAUUUCUAGAAGCAUAUGAACACCAGUUUGCUCAAACCUAACUAUUUUCCUACAGAAUCUACUGUUUCUAUUCAGUCAACUAAAUUUUACCCAUCCCAAGUAGAAACUGAGCAGAUCAAUGGAUUGCUUCUAAUCCCAAGUGACAUCAUUUCUGAAUCAUUAGCAGUCUCACACUGGAACCAUUUAGAGGGUUUUAUGAUACCUGUAUGCUGGGCCCAUUCCCAGGAAUCGAUUCUGUUGGUCUAGGCUUUUGUCUAUUGUUCCAAAACGUUGACAACCACAGGCCUGAUUUCAGUCACUUCAUUUCGAACAGCACCCUGUGUACCUCUGUGAGGUUCAAAGUCAUGUUAGAGUCUGAGGAUUCAGUAGCUUCUAUUCUUCCUUUAUUUCAGGAGGGAAAUAAAAAGGUCAGGGAAAGUGUUGAGGAGUUUGCAGAGGAGAGGAGGUGGUAUCCUUCCCCAGGGUGCUCAGAGCUAUUCCAAUUAGCGGUUCAUUAGGGUUAACAAGCUGUCCUUUGUAGAAGCAAAUACUCUCUGUUCUUGCCUAGGUGCAAAUGACUUUAAUGAGAUAAUCUCCUCUCACCUAGUGAAGAUUUGUUACUAUAGGUUUAAGAAAGCUAGGAGAAAAAGUUGGAAGGCCCCUGAGACUCACUGAGGUGUACUAGGGCCCAGCUGUUUGGCAGUCCAGCAUCCGGGAAACAGGCAUGAGAAAUAGGUUUUCAUAAGACAACACGAUCACUCUGCCAUCCAAACUUUUCCUUCAUAUUGCUGGGUGAUGAGUGCUAAGUGUAUGCACCUCAUCAAAUCAUUUGUCUCUCUUGGUCCUUUGUGACUUUUCUCUGAAAAAUUUCCCCUCUGCCACGAAGCUGUUAACAAUGUUGGAUAAUUUUACUACUUGUCAGCAGCUUAGAUGGCCGUGAAGACCAAGGACUUGCCUAGCCCUGUCCUCCUUUCCACCUGUUUACAUGGUAAAUAUGUCUGGCCUAUUAGUCUUAAUGGAAUUGCUGCAUUUACUACAAGCUUUCCAAUUGGUAUUCUCACCCAAUCUAUUCCUAUCUUCAGACUAAUGGAACACCCUGAGGAAGGUGGGGGGAAUCACAGAAUGAUAGAAAUGUAGAAUAGUAUAAAAAAACAGAAGAAAAGAAUGUCAAGCAUGAGUAGAGACCCAUAUAAUAUAUUCUGGAGAUAAAAAAAAAUCAAGCCAUCUGUUUAGCAUAUUUAUAAGUGUGUCAGCUUUAAGAAUUAAUAAGGUAGGGAAGUCCCACACCCGCGGAUCCCGGCCCGCAGCAGCUCUCUGCUCCCAGACCCGGUGAGAGAGAGACCCAACCGCCUGGUCAGGUGGGCACUCCUGAGGCUGCAGAGCGGAAGAGACCACCAACACUGCUCACCCCUGCCCACAUCCCUG